rnacentral:rRNA from 1 species
UUUCCUACGGGAGGCAGCAGUGGGGAAUAUUGGGCAAUGGGCGCAAGCCUGGCCCAGCAACGCCGCGUGAAGGAAGAAGGCUUUCGGGUUGUAAACUUCUUUUGUCAGGGACGAAGCAAGUGACGGUACCUGACGAAUAAGCCACGGCUAACUACGUGCCAGCAGCCGCGGUAAUACGUAGGUGGCAAGCGUUAUCCGGAUUUACUGGGUGUAAAGGGCGUGUAGGCGGGGAGGCAAGUCAGAUGUUAAAACCACGGGCUCAACCUGUGGCCUGCAUUUGAAACUGUUUUUCUU